rnacentral:rRNA from 1 species
GACGAACGCUGGCGGCGUGCCUAAUACAUGCAAGUAGAACGCUGAAGAGAGGAGCUUGCUCUUCUUGGAAGAGUUGCGAACGGGUGAGUAACGCGUAGGUAACCUGCCUUGUAGCGGGGGAUAACUAUUGGAAACGAUAGCUAAUACCGCAUAACAAUGGGUGACCCAUGUCAUUUAUUUGAAAGGGGCAACUGCUCCACUACAAGAUGGACCUGCGUUGUAUUAGCUAGUAGGUGAGGUAACGGCUCACCUAGGCGACGAUACAUAGCCGACCUGAGAGGGUGAUCGGCCACACUGGGACUGAGACACGGCCCAGACUCCUACGGGAGGCAGCAGUAGGGAAUCUUCGGCAAUGGGGGCAACCCUGACCGAGCAACGCCGCGUGAGUGAAGAAGGUUUUCGGAUCGUAAAGCUCUGUUGUAAGUCAAGAACGAGUGUGAGAGUGGAAAGUUCACACUGUGACGGUAGCUUACCAGAAAGGGACGGCUAACUACGUGCCAGCAGCCGCGGUAAUACGUAGGUCCCGAGCGUUGUCCGGAUUUAUUGGGCGUAAAGCGAGCGCAGGCGGUUUGAUAAGUCUGAAGUUAAAGGCUGUGGCUCAACCAUAGUUCGCUUUGGAAACUGUCAAACUUGAGUGCAGAAGGGGAGAGUGGAAUUCCAUGUGUAGCGGUGAAAUGCGUAGAUAUAUGGAGGAACACCGGUGGCGAAAGCGGCUCUCUGGUCUGUAACUGACGCUGAGGCUCGAAAGCGUAGUAGCAAACAGG